rnacentral:rRNA from 1 species
AGCGAACGCUGGCGGCAGGCCUAACACAUGCAAGUCGAGCGGCCGUAGCAAUACGGCAGCGGCAGACGGGAUAGUAACACGUGGGAACGCGCCCUUCGGUUCGGAAUAACUCAGGGAAACUUGAGCUAAUACCGGAUACGCCCUUACGGGAAAGAUUAUUGCGAAGGAACGGCCCGCGUCGGAUUAGCUAGUUGGUGAGGUAAUGGCUCACCAAGGCGACGAUCCGUAGCUGGUCUGAGAGGAUGAUCAGCCACAUUGGGACUGAGACACAGCCCAAA